UACGUAGGUGGCAAGCGUUGUCCGGAUUUACUGGGCGUAAAGAGCGCGCAGGCGGUCGUUCAAGUCGCGUGUGAAAGCCCCGGCUCAACUGGGGAGGGUCACGCGAUACUGAUCGACUCGAAGGCAGGAGAGGGUAGUGGAAUUCCCGGUGUAGUGGUGAUAUGCGUAGAUAUCGGGAGGAACACCUGUGGCGAAGGCGGCCUUUCUGGGCCGUUACCUGACGCUGGAGACACGAAAGCGGUGGGGAGCGAACCGG
rnacentral:rRNA from 1 species